AUUAUUAGUAAUACCUGCUCAAUGUCAAAUCAAUAGCCGCAGAAAUUUUACUGUGCUAAGGUAGCAUAAUCACUAGCCUUUUAAUUGAAGGCUUGUAUGAAAGGUCAAACAUUUUAAUUCCUUUUUUAUUUAAAAUUUUUUAAAUUAUAUUAAGCAUAAAAAUAUGCUUAUACAUUAAUUAGACGACAAGACCCUAUUGAACUUUACUGAAGUUUAGCUGGGGCAGCUUUUUAAUUAAUAUUUUGUAAUAAAACAAUUAAAUCAAUGACCCAAUAUUAUUUGAUUACAUGAAUUAAGUUACCAUAGGGAUAACAGCGUAAUUUUUUUUAAAAGCUCAUAUUUAAAAAAAAGAUUGCGACCUCGAUGUUGAAUUAUUGUUACAAAUUAUACGCAAUAGUAUAUACUGUGGGUCUGUUCGACCCUUAAAACAUUACGUGAUC
rnacentral:rRNA from 1 species